CUGAGGUCAGCUGGAUAUUCCCUUUUCCCGCAUGGAAGAGGCGAAAGCCAUGUAACAUUUACACCCAAGCCUUCCCUGGGGCUCCAUUCAUACUCAAAUUCUCUUCUCCCUGUUUCCGUCUGCUGAUUUGUAUGAGCUGGUUUUUUGGGAGGCUGCUGCUUCUCAGAGGUUUGUCAAUGUUGCUGUGAUGUCCUUCCCCUAAAGCUCUCGAGCAGCCGGGUGGGACCCGUGGUGAGCCCAGGGCUGCCCUGGCAAGGUGACCUGCAGAGCAUGAAGUCCUCCUGGAGCCCCCUGCCGUGGGGACAGGACCCCAAAGAGAUGCACACGUGGGCUGGCUUUGCUUAAAGAAACAACUGAGCAAGAGCUGUGGCUGCCUUGUUUCCCUGUUAUUUUUCCCUGCGUGGGCUGUUCAUAUCUAGUAAGGCAGAGGAGAUGUCACCCUGCUGGAGCCACAGGUGGCUUCUCCUCCGUGCGGAGAGCUGCUGCCACGAAGGAGCGCUGCAGCAUGGCAACAAUGCGGUCCGAAAUAGUAACAGGAGUACAAUUGUUUGCACAGACGAAAGCAGAAAGCGACGGGAAAUGGCAAGGAGCCCAUCAGUCUCUUUCUAGACUUUGCUUUCUCAGCACCCACUUCUGUCCUCUGACACGUGAGGCUGAGAAAAGCAGGUUGCCUACCACGGGAAGGAGAAGUGUCUCUAGCCGAGUGAUGCGUGCCUGCUCUCUUUUUGCUGCAGGGAAGGCAGUGUGCGGACACCCCUCGUGUCUCCGGCCAUCCACACGUGGUGCUGGGCAGGCGACCCCUGCCCGUGUGCAGCUUAAACCUGGCUGCUCCUCGUUGCCGCUUAAAUGCUGCUUAAAUGAGUAAAACCCACCUGUCUGCCAAUUUUCCUGGUGGAAGCUGUUCAAGAAAGAUGCUAAAAGAAAAAUGCUUUCAAAUGGGAAUGGGUGCUUUCCUUUUUUUUUUUUUUCUUCAGCUAUUGCUCUCUUAUUAAGUACCAGUUACUAAUUAGCCUUCAUGUCUCAUUAAAAUCAUAGUGGUUUCUUUACCUACUGGAAAUUGUAAAUAGCCUUUAUUCUGGUCUUUAAUGCAUGUUGAUUGAAGUAUUUAUUGAAUGCCACUUAUGCAGCUCUGUGGCUGCAUUCAUUUGCUUCUUAAGACAUUUACCGAACCAUUGCCUAGAAUUACUCCAACCCAUCUGGCCUAUUAAGUGUUUGUGCAGAGUGUACCCGAUUUUCCCAUCCACUUCCUCAAUUAAUAUUAAAUAUUCAAGGGAAUUGAAUUUUUUUUUUUCCUCCCUGCCAUCUGAUCUUCCUGCCAUCCAUCACGGCGUAGAACAUCAUCUAGCGGUGGAGCCCAGGGGCCGGACGUGGGACCUGGAGGUGAAAGCAAGUAAUGGGUAACUUCAAGGAUAUCAAAGUCAAAUUAUUCCACCCUAUUUUGACACGGGGGAAGGAGUGCGGGAAGCAAGGAUUCAGAAGUCACCCCGCAUCCCUGGGGAGGCGUGAGCACGCAGCGGAUUAGAAAUGAGCUCUGCUGGUAGCUCUGGGGAGAAGCACUUGUGCUAAACCUGUUGGCAUUAGGCAUGACAGCUAUGUGAUUUCACUUCUGUAGUCAGCCUCGCAAACAAAAAUGAGAACAGAGCAUGUCAC